GGUUACUGCUAUCGGUGUUCGCCUAAGCCAUGCGAGUCAUAUGUUCGUAAGAACAUGGCGUACUGCUCAGUAACACGUGGAUAACCUGCCCUUGGGUCCGGCAUAACCCCGGGAAACUGGGGAUAAUUCCGGAUAACGCACAUAUGCUGGAAUGCUUUAUGCGUAAAAUGGAUUCGUCUGCCCAAGGAUGGGUCUGCGGCCUAUCAGGUAGUAGUGGGUGUAAUGUACCUACUAGCCUACGGCGGGUACGGGUUGUGAGAGCAAGAGCCCGGAGAUGGAUUCUGAGACAUGAAUCCAGGCCCUACGGGGCGCAGUAGGCGCGAAAACUUUACAAUGCGGGAAACCGUGAUAAGGGGACACCGAGUGCCAGCAUCCUAUGCUGGCUGUCCGGGUGUGUAAAAUACACCUGUUAGCAAGGGCCGGGCAAGACCGGUGCCAGCCGCCGCGGUAACACCGGCGGCCCGAGUGGUGAUCGUGAUUAUUGGGUCUAAAGGGUCCGUAGCCGGUUUGGUCAGUCCUCCGGGAAAUCUGACAGCUUAACUGUUAGGCUUUCGGAGGAUACUGCCAGACUUGGAACCGGGAGAGGUAAGAGGUACUACAGGGGUAGGAGUGAAAUCUUGUAAUCCCUGUGGGACCACCUGUGGCGAAGGCGUCUUACCAGAACGGGUUCGACGGUGAGGGACGAAAGCUGGGGGCACGAACCGGAUUAGAUACCCGGGUAGUCCCAGCCGUAAACGAUGCUCGCUAGGUGUCAGGCAUGGCGCGACCGUGUCUGGUGCCGCAGGGAAGCCGUGAAGCGAGCCACCUGGGAAGUACGGCCGCAAGGCUGAAACUUAA
rnacentral:rRNA from 1 species